rnacentral:rRNA from 1 species
CAACCUGCCGAUGACUCGGGGAUAGCCUUUCGAAAGAAAGAUUAAUACCCGAUGGCAUAGUUCUUCCGCAUGGUGGAACUAUUAAAGAAUUUCGGUCAUCGAUGGGGAUGCGUUCCAUUAGGUUGUUGGCGGGGUAACGGCCCACCAAGCCUUCGAUGGAUAGGGGUUCUGANAGGAAGGUCCCCCACAUUGGAACUGANACACGGUCCAAACUCCUACGGGAGGCAGCAGUGAGGAAUAUUGGUCAAUGGACNANAGUCUGAACCAGCCAAGUAGCGUGAAGGAUGACUGCCCUAUGGGUUGUAAACUUCUUUUAUACGGGAAUAAAGUGAGGCACGUGUGCCUUUUUGUAUGUACCGUAUGAAUAAGGAUCGGCUAACUCCGUGCCAGCAGCCGCGGUAAUACGGAGGAUCCGAGCGUUAUCCGGAUUUAUUGGGUUUAAAGGGAGCGUAGGCGGACGCUUAAGUCAGUUGUGAAAGUUUGCGGCUCAACCGUAAAAUUGCAGUUGAUACUGGGUGUCUUGAGUACAGUANAGGCAGGCGGAAUUCGUGGUGUAGCGGUGAAAUGCUUAGAUAUCACGAAGAACUCCGAUUG